AGCUUGAUGUAUACAUAGUAGCUUUUCAAUUUAUCGUCACAGAUCACUUUGAAUUUUUCGACCUAUCUCACUAUAAGAUGUUCCUUCAGAGUUGAAGAUUAUUACUUCCUAGUCCAAACCUCCCGUAGGACGACAGGGGAUGGGAGCGGGCAGGGUUUAAACCCUGGACCACUGACAAAUCUGAACGACAGUCCAGCGCGCAAACCACACAACCAAAAUAUCUAGUCUAGAUCUAGUAGAUCUAUUUCUAUAUGUCUAUAUCAUUAUAUUAUUAUAUAAAUCUAUAAUAAUAGAUUUUUAUUCUGUACGCAAUAGUGAUUUGGGGUAUUCUAGUCAAUCCAGAUGAGACAGCAAUUAGUAUGCGUAUUUGUGAUACUUAGAUUAGAAAGUAAUAGUAAGAUCUAGUAGGGCUGUAGAUCUAGUCUAUAAAUUAUACCAUAUUAGUAAGUUUAUAUUUUCUGUUUGUAAAAUGUUUCAGAUGUUCCUUCAGAGUUGAAGAUUAUUACUUCCUAGUCCAAACCUCCCGUAGGACGACAGGGGAUGGGAGCGGGCAGGGUUUAAACCCUGGACCACUGACAAAUCUGAACGACAGUCCAGCGCGCAAACCACACAACCAAAAUAUCUAGUCUAGAUCUGGUAGAUCUAUUUCUAUAUGUCUGUAUCAUUAUAUUAUUAUAUAAAUCUAUAAUAAUAGAUUUUUAUUCUGUACGCGAUAGUGAUUUGGGGUAUUCUAGUCAAUCCAGAUGAGACAACAAUUAGUAUGCGUAUUUGUGAUACUUAGAUAAGAAAGUAAUAGUAAGAUCUAGAAGGGCUGUAGAUCUAGUCUAUAAAUUAUACCAUAUUAGUAAGUUUAUAUUUUCUGUUUGUAAAAUGUUUCAGAUGUUCCUUCAGAGUUGAAGAUUAUUACUUCCUAGUCCAAACCUCCCGCAGGACGACAGGGGAUGGGAGCGGGCAGGGUUUAAACCCUGGACCACUGACAAAUCUGAACGACAGUCCAGCGCGCAAACCACACAACCAAAAUAUCUAGUCUAGAUCUAGUAGAUCUAUUUCUAUAUAUGUCUGUAUCAUUAUAUUAUUAUAUAAAUCUAUAAUAAUAGAUUUUUAUUCUGUACGCGAUAGUGAUUUGGGGUAUUCUAGUCAAUCCAGAUGAGACAGCAAUUAGUAUGCGUAUUUGUGAUACUUAGAUUAGAAAGUAAUAGUAAGAUCUAGUAGGGCUGUAGAUCUAGUCUAUAAAUUAUACCAUAUUAGUAAGUUUAUAUUUUCUGUUUGUAAAAUGUUUCAGAUGUUCCUUCAGAGUUGAAGAUUAUUACUUCCUAGUCCAAACCUCCCGCAGGAUGACAGGGGAUGGGAGCGGGCAGGGUUUAAACCCUGGACCACUGACAAAUCUGAACGACAGUCCAGCGCGCAAACCGCACGACCAAAAAAUGUUAAGAAAUUACCAGAGAAAAACACAAGGCUCGUAUGGUCAACAUUCUUGACAGGAGAUUUAAAAGCUAUCGCUGAUGGGAUGCCACUUAACAAUGUCUCCGAAAAAAUUACAUUUAUAAUUAUUAAAUAUUUCACUUAUACUUUUUAAA